ensembl:lncRNA
UGGUCCUGCUAAUCAAAUUUACAGUUAGCCUUGUCCUGCUAUCUAAUUCAUAAGUUAGCCUGGUCCUGCUAAUCAAAUUUACAGUUAGCCUUGUCCUGCUAUCUAAUUUUACAGUUAGCCUGGUCCCGCUAACUAAGUCUACAGUUAGCCUGGUCCUGCUAUCUAAUUCUACAGUUAGCCCGGUCCUGCUAACUAAGUCUACAGUUAGCCUGGUCCUGCUAAUCACGUUUACAGUUAGCCUUGUCCUGCUAUCUAAUUCUACAGUUAGCCUGGUCCUGCUAAACAAGUCUUGCCAGGUCUCCCUCUCAAAACAGGCUCUGAACCCUACGGGAUCUUCUUAGCCUAGGCAACAGUCUAUUUUGUGAUAACAAUCUACUCCUUGUCAACAUAAUUUGGCAUAUGACAUGGAGUACAAGAAGUGUAAUCCCAACUAGCGCAUAUGGUUUAUUGAAAGUUGUGGGAACAUACAUUUUUGGUUUACCAUUGGUUCUUGGGAGGAAACCAUAACUUUACUGCCUGGUAAAACGGAGCAUUUUUUAAACAUUCUGAAAACGGAAGUGAAGAGUUAGCCUGUUCUGGGAACGUUAAGUUUUAGGUUGCAGGGAGGAUUCUGAGAAUGUUUUACUAUGGUUCCAGGGAGGUUCUGAGAACGUCUAACUAUGGUUCCAGGGAGGUUCUGAGAACGUCUAACUAUGGUUCCAGGGAGGUUCUGAGAACAUCUAACUAUGGUUCCAGGGAGGUUCUGAGAAUGUCUAACUAUGUUUCCAGUGAGGUUCUGAGAACGUCUAACUAUGGUUCCAGGGAGGUUCUGAGAACGUUUUACUAUGGAUCCAGGGAGGUUCUGAGAACGUCUAAUUAUGGUUCCAGGGAGGUUCUGAGAACGUCUUACUAUGGUUCCAUGAACAUUUUCCUGGGAGGUUUUAUUAACACUCAGAGAAAUGGAAUUAUUGGUUAUUUGGAGUUAAAAAAAAAAAACUUCCUUCAAUGUUCACUGAAUGUUUCAAUCAUACUUUUAAUAAAAGCACAAAUAGAACAAGGGGCGCAACUUUAUGCGCUAGCUGGGAUGUUCGCACAAAACAGGUCUGGAUUUCAGGCUCUCAGUGAAACACUACAGUAGAACACAUGUAUCACAUUAACCAGG